UUAAGCGACCAAGCGUACACGGUGGAUGCCCUGGCAGUCAGAGGCGAUGAAGGACGUGCUAAUCUGCGAAAAGCGCCGGUAAGGUGAUAUGAACCGUUAUAACCGGCGAUGUCCGAAUGGGGAAACCCAGUGUGACUCGUCACACUAUCAUUAACUGAAUCCAUAGGUUAAUGAGGCGAACCGGGGGAACUGAAACAUCUAAGUACCCCGAGGAAAAGAAAUCAACCGAGAUUCCCCCAGUAGCGGCGAGCGAACGGGGAGGAGCCCAGAGCCUGAAUCAGCAUGUGUGUUAGUGGAAACGUCUGGAAAGGCGCGCGAUACAGGGUGAGAGCCCCGUACACAAAAGCGCACGUGCUGUGAGCUCGAUGAGUAGGGCGGGACACGUGGUAUCCUGUCUGAAUAUGGGGGGACCAUCCUCCAAGGCUAAAUACUCCUGACUGACCGAUAGUGAACCAGUACCGUGAGGGAAAGGCGAAAAGAACCCCGGCGAGGGGAGUGAAACAGAACCUGAAACCGUGUACGUACAAGCAGUGGGAGCACAGGUUUACCUGUGUGACUGCGUACCUUUUGUAUAAUGGGUCAGCGACUUAUAUUCUGUAGCAAGGUUAACCGCAUAGGGGAGCCGGAGGGAAACCGAGUCUUAAUUGGGCGUUAAGUUGCAGGGUAUAGACCCGAAACCCGGUGAUCUAGCCAUGGGCAGGUUGAAGGUUGGGUAACACUAACUGGAGGACCGAACCGACUAAUGUUGAAAAAUUAGCGGAUGACCUGUGGCUGGGGGUGAAAGGCCAAUCAAACCGGGAGAUAGCUGGUUCUCCCCGAAAGCUAUUUAGGUAGCGCCUCGUGAAUUCAUCUCCGGGGGUAGAGCACUGUUUCGGCCAGGGGGCCAUCCCGGCUUACCAAUCCGAUGCAAACUGCGAAUACCGGAGAAUGUUAUCACGGGAGACACACGGCGGGUGCUAACGUCCGUCGUGAAGAGGGAAACAACCCAGACCGCCAGCUAAGGUCCCAAAGUCAUGGUUAAGUGGGAAACGAUGUGGGAAGGCCCAGACAGCCAGGAUGUUGGCUUAGAAGCAGCCAUCAUUUAAAGAAAGCGUAAUAGCUCACUGGUCGAGUCGGCCUGCGCGGAAGAUGUAACGGGGCUAAACCAUGCACCGAAGCUGCGGCAGCGACACUGAUGUGUUGUUGGGUAGGGGAGCGUUCUGUAAGCCGUUGAAGGUGGCCUGUGAGGGUUGCUGGAGGUAUCAGAAGUGCGAAUGCUGACAUAAGUAACGAUAAAGCGGGUGAAAAGCCCGCUCGCCGGAAGACCAAGGGUUCCUGUCCAACGUUAAUCGGGGCAGGGUGAGUCGACCCCUAAGGCGAGGCCGAAAGGCGUAGUCGAUGGGAAACGGGUUAAUAUUCCCGUACUUGGUGUUACUGCGAAGGGGGGACGGAGAAGGCUAUGUUGGCCGGGCGACGGUUGUCCCGGUUUAAGCGUGUAGGUGUGUGUUCCAGGUAAAUCCGGUUCACUUUAACACUGAGGCGUGAUGACGAGGCACUACGGUGCUGAAGCAACAAAUGCCCUGCUUCCAGGAAAAGCCUCUAAGCCUCAGGUAACAUCAAAUCGUACCCCAAACCGACACAGGUGGUCAGGUAGAGAAUACCAAGGCGCUUGAGAGAACUCGGGUGAAGGAACUAGGCAAAAUGGUGCCGUAACUUCGGGAGAAGGCACGCUGACACGUAGGUGAAGUGGUUUACCCAUGGAGCUGAAGUCAGUCGAAGAUACCAGCUGGCUGCAACUGUUUAUUAAAAACACAGCACUGUGCAAACACGAAAGUGGACGUAUACGGUGUGACGCCUGCCCGGUGCCGGAAGGUUAAUUGAUGGGGUCAGCGCAAGCGAAGCUCCUGAUCGAAGCCCCGGUAAACGGCGGCCGUAACUAUAACGGUCCUAAGGUAGCGAAAUUCCUUGUCGGGUAAGUUCCGACCUGCACGAAUGGCGUAAUGAUGGCCAGGCUGUCUCCACCCGGGACUCAGUGAAAUUGAACUCGCUGUGAAGAUGCAGUGUACCCGCGGCAAGACGGAAAGACCCCGUGAACCUUUACUAUAGCUUGACACUGAACACUGGUCCUUGAUGUGCAGGAUAGGUGGGAGGCUUUGAAGUGUGGACGCCAGUCUGCAUGGAGCCAUCCUUGAAAUACCACCCUUUAAUGGCUGGUGUUCUAACGUGGGCCCGUGAACCGGGUUGCGGACAGUGUCUGGUGGGUAGUUUGACUGGGGCGGUCUCCUCCUAAAGAGUAACGGAGGAGCACGAAGGUUGGCUAAUCCUGGUCGGACAUCAGGAGGUUAGUGCAAUGGCAUAAGCCAGCUUGACUGCGAGCGUGACGGCGCGAGCAGGUGCGAAAGCAGGUCAUAGUGAUCCGGUGGUUCUGAAUGGAAGGGCCAUCGCUCAACGGAUAAAAGGUACUCCGGGGAUAACAGGCUGAUACCGCCCAAGAGUUCAUAUCGACGGCGGUGUUUGGCACCUCGAUGUCGGCUCAUCACAUCCUGGGGCUGAAGUAGGUCCCAAGGGUAUGGCUGUUCGCCAUUUAAAGUGGUACGCGAGCUGGGUUUAGAACGUCGUGAGACAGUUCGGUCCCUAUCUGCCGUGGGCGCUGGAAGAUUGAGGGGGGCUGCUCUUAGUACGAGAGGACCGGAGUGGACGCAUCACUGGUGUUCGGGUUGUCAUGCCAAUGGCACUGCCCGGUAGCUACAUGCGGAAGAGAUAAGUGCUGAAAGCAUCUAAGCACGAAACUUGCCCCGAGAUGAAUCUUCCCUGAGCCUUUAAGGCUCCUGAAGGAACGUUGAAGACGACGACGUUGAUAGGCCGGGUGUGUAAGCGCAGCGAUGCGUUGAGCUAACCGGUACUAAUGAACCGUGAGGCUUAACCUU
rnacentral:rRNA from 1 species